rnacentral:lncRNA from 1 species
CCAUGACUUGAUCAUACUCUCUAGGCAAUACGGAUACCAUAUUGCAAGCGAUGUCUCAUGAGGCGUCUGAGUAUAAGUCAUAUGUCAUCAUGUUAUCUUCAUGAUUUUACUUCUCUGCAAAUACCUUCUUCUGAGGAGAAAACAACUUCCUCUCGACAUGCUUUCUUUCUUCCUUCUUUUCUUGCUUCAAUGGUACAUUGCUACUUGACUCGGGCUUUGCAUGUUCUUUAGUCUCCCUCUCAACUUUUCUUUAUUGUUGUUGCCUCCUCCACUACGACAUGGAAAUUAGGUUCUUCCCCUUGUAAUUUUCGGAGCAAUGCACCAACUGCUUCGAGGCCUAAAACUCC